AGGCUCAGAACCCUGCUGCUCUAUGCAGCCUCAGGACAUGCUGUCCUGAAUCCCAGCCACUCUGGCUACAGCUGUGGCUAAAACAGGUCAAGGUACAGCUCAAAAUGUGGCUUUAGAGGGUGCCAGCCCCAAGCUUUGGCAGCUUACAUGUAGCAUUGAGCCUGUAGGUGUGCAGAAGAUAAGAGUUGAGGUUUGGGAACCUCUGCCUAGAUUUCAGAUGAUGCAUGGAAAUGUAUGGACGUCCAGGCAGAAGUCUCCAUGAGGGGUGGAGCCCUCAUGGAGAACCUCUAUUAGGGCAGCACAGAAGGAAAAUGUGG